UACGUAGGGCGCAAGCGUUAUCCGGAAUUAUUGGGCGUAAAGAGCGUGUAGGCGGCCCGAUAAGUCCGCUGUGAAAGUCCAGGGCUCAACCCUGGAAUGCCGGUGGAUACUGUCGGGCUAGAGUCCGGAAGGGGCGAGUGGAAUUCCUGGUGUAGCGGUGAAAUGCGCAGAUAUCAGGAGGAACACCGAUGGCGAAGGCAGGUCUCUGGGCAUUAACUGACGCUGAGGAGCGAAAGCAUGGGGAGCGAACAGG
rnacentral:rRNA from 1 species